CCUACGGGAGGCAGCAGUGGGGAAUAUUGGACAAUGGGCGAAAGCCUGAUCCAGCAAUGCCGCGUGAGUGAUGAAGGCCUUCGGGUCGUAAAGCUCUUUUACCAGGGAUGAUAAUGACAGUACCUGGAGAAUAAGCUCCGGCUAACUCCGUGCCAGCAGCCGCGGUAAUACGGAGGGAGCUAGCGUUGUUCGGAAUUACUGGGCGUAAAGAGUACGUAGGCGGUUAUUCAAGUCAGAGGUGAAAGCCCGGGGCUCAACCCCGGAACUGCCUUUGAAACUAGAUAACUAGAGUCUUGGAGAGGUUAGUGGAAUUCCGAGUGUAGAGGUGAAAUUCGUAGAUAUUCGGAAGAACACCAGUGGCGAAGGCGACUAACUGGACAAGUACUGACGCUGAGGUACGAAAGCGUGGGGAGCAAACAGGAUUAGAUACCCUGGUAGUCCACGCCGUAAACGAUGAUAACUAGUUGUUCGGUCACUUGGUGACUGAGUGACGCAGCUAACGCAUUAAGUUAUCCGCCUGGGGAGUACGGUCGCAAGNUUAAAACUCAAAGGAAUUGACGGCUGNGAGNGCGAGCGACACGAGGGAGAG
rnacentral:rRNA from 1 species